GCCGGUGUGGCUCAGUGGGUAGAGCAUCGGCCGGCGGACUGAUGGGUCCUGGGUUCGAAUCCCGGUCAAGGGCA
rfam:Myotis davidii contig205906, whole genome shotgun sequence.